rnacentral:rRNA from 1 species
UUCCGGUUGAUCCUGCCGGACCCCACUGCUAUCGGGAUGAGACUAAGACAUGCUAGUCNUGCACCUCCGGGCCACGGAUGGAGGCGCGGCGCACAGCUCAGUAACACGUGGCUAACCUACCCUUGGGACGGAAAUAACCCCGGGAAACUGGGGCUAAUUUCCGAUAGGUGAAGAUUCCUGGAAUGGAUCUUCGCCGAAAAGGCGUCUAGACCAUGCUUCUAGGCGCUGCCCAAGGAUGGGGCCGCGGCCGAUCAGGUUGUUGGUGAGGUAACGGCUCACCAAGCCUAUAACCGGUACGGGCCGUGGGAGCGGUAGCCCGGAGAUGGGCACUGAGACAAGGGCCCAGGCCCUACGGGGCGCAGCAGUCGCGAAGCCUCCGCAAUACGCGAAAGCGUGACGGGGUCAUCCCGAGUGCCGUCCGCUGAGGAUGGCUUUUCCCCAGUGUAGACAGCUGGGGGAAUAAGGAGAGGGCAAGUCGGGUGUCAGCCGCCGCGGUAAUACCCGCUCUCCGAGUGGUGGGGACGCUUAUUGGGCCUAAAGCAUCCGUAGCCGGCUGGACAAGUCCCCUGUUAAAUCCAGCGAUUUAAUCGUUGGACUGGCGGGGGAUACUGUCCGGCUAGGGGGCUGNGAGAGGCCGACGGUAUUUCCGGGGUAGGGGUGAAAUCCUAUAAUCCCGGGAGGACCACCAGUGGCGAAGGCUGUCGGCUAGAACGCGCCCGACGGUGAGGGAUGAAAGCUGGGGGAGCGAACCGGAUUAGAUACCCGGGUAGUCCCAGNCGUAAACGAUGCAAGGCUAAGUGUUCGGGUGGCUACGUGCCACUCGAGUGCCGCAAGGAACUGUU